UACGAAGGGUGCAAACGUUGCUCGGAAUUAUUGGGCGUAAAGCGCACGUAGGCGGCUUUUCAAGUCCCAUGUGAAAGCCCACGGCUUAACCGUGGAAGUGCAUGGGAAACUGGAAGGCUUGAGUACUUAAGAGGAUCGCGGAAUUCCCGGUGUAGAGGUGAAAUUCGUAGAUAUUCGGAAGAACACCAGUGGCGAAGGCGGCUCACUGGCCCGGUACUGACGCUGAGGUGCGAAAGCGUGGGGAGCAAACAGG
rnacentral:rRNA from 1 species